GACGAACGCUGGCGGCGUGCUUAACACAUGCAAGUCGAACGGAAAGGCCCUGCUUUUGUGGGGUGCUCGAGUGGCGAACGGGUGAGUAACACGUAAGUAACCUGCCCUUGACUUUGGGAUAACUUCAGGAAACUGGGGCUACUACCGGAUAGGAGCUCCUGCUGCAUGGUGGGGGUUGGAAAGUUUCGGCGGUUGGGGAUGGACUCGCGGCUUAUCAGCUUGUUGGUGGGGUAGUGGCUUACCAAGGCUUUGACGGGUAGCCGGCCUGAGAGGGUGACCGGCCACAUUGGGACUGAGAUACGGCCCAGACUCCUACGGGAGGCAGCAGUGGGGAAUAUUGCACAAUGGGCGGAAGCCUGAUGCAGCAACGCCGCGUGCGGGAUGACGGCCUUCGGGUUGUAAACCGCUUUCGCCUGUGACGAAGCGUGAGUGACGGUAAUGGGUAAAGAAGCACCGGCUAACUACGUG
rnacentral:rRNA from 1 species